AGAGUUUGAUCCUGGCUCAGAUUGAACGCUGGCGGCAGGCCUAACACAUGCGAGUCGAACGGUAACAUUUCUAGCUUGCUAGAAGAUGACGAGUGGCGGACGGGUGAGUAAUGCUUGGGAACUUGCCUUUGCGAGGGGGAUAACAGUUGGAAACGACUGCUAAUACCGCAUAAUGUCUACGGACCAAACGGGGCUUCGGCUCCGGCGCAAAGAGAGGCCCAAGUGAGAUUAGCUAGUUGGUAAGGUAACGGCUUACCAAGGCGACGAUCUCUAGCUGUUCUGAGAGGAAGAUCAGCCACACUGGGACUGAGACACGGCCCAGACUUCUACGGGAGGCAGCAGUGGGGAAUAUUGCACAAUGGGGGAAACCCUGAUGCAGCCAUGCCGCGUGUGUGAAGAAGGCCUUCGGGUUGUAAAGCACUUUCAGUUGUGAGGAAAAGUUAGUAGUUAAUACCUGCUAGCCGUGACGUUAACAACAGAAGAAGCACCGGCUAACUCCGUGCCAGCAGCCGCGGUAAUACGGAGGGUGCGAGCGUUAAUCGGAAUUACUGGGCGUAAAGCGCACGCAGGCGGUUUGUUAAGCUAGAUGUGAAAGCCCCGGGCUCAACCUGGGAUGGUCAUUUAGAACUGGCAGACUAGAGUCUUGGAGAGGGGAGUGGAAUUCCAGGUGUAGCGGUGAAAUGCGUAGAUAUCUGGAGGAACAUCAGUGGCGAAAGCGACUCCCUGG
rnacentral:rRNA from 1 species